AUUGAACGCUGGCGGCAGGCCUAACACAUGCAAGUCGAACGAAGCCUUCGGGCUUAGUGGCGGACGGGUGAGUAACACGUGGGAACGUACCUUUUGGUUCGGAAUAACGCAGAGAAAUUUGCGCUAAUACCGAAUGAGCCCUUCGGGGGAAAGAUUUAUCGCCGAAAGAUCGGCCCGCGUUGGAUUAGGUAGUUGGUGUGGUAAAGGCGCACCAAGCCUACGAUCCAUAGCUGGUCUGAGAGGAUGAUCAGCCACACUGGGACUGAGACACGGCCCAGACUCCUACGGGAGGCAGCAGUGGGGAAUCUUGCGCAAUGGGCGAAAGCCUGACGCAGCCAUGCCGCGUGGAUGAUGAAGGUCUUAGGAUUGUAAAAUCCUUUCACCGGUGAAGAUAAUGACUGUAGCCGGAGAAGAAGCCCCGGCUAACUUCGUGCCAGCCGCCGCGGUAACAC
rnacentral:rRNA from 1 species